rnacentral:rRNA from 1 species
CGGUAAUUCCAGCUCCAAUAGCGUAUACUAACGUUGUUGCAGUUAAAAAGCUCGUAGUUGGAUUUCUGAUCUUUGCCAAUGGUUGUGUCGCCGCGUGCGAGGCGCCUUGCGCAGAGGUCAACAUAUGUCACGAGCCAGUGUGAUCUAUUCAUUUAGGUCCACUGGGUAAUGACUCGUUUACUUUGAGAAAAUUAGAGUGUUCAAAGCAGGCAUUUGCCUUGAAUAUGUUAGCAUGGAAUAAUAGCAUAGGACUUCGGUUCUAUUUGUUGGUUGUUCGAGAACUGGAGUAAUGAUUGAUAGGGACGGUUGGGGGCAUCCGUAUUCUCAAGCGAGAGGUGAAAUUCUUGGACCUUGGGAAGACGAACAGCUGCGAAAGCGUUUGCCUAGGACGUUCUCUUUAAUCAAGAACGAAAGUUGGGGGAUCGGAGACGAUCAGAUACCGUCGUAGUCUCAACUAUAAACUAUGCCAGCUAGGGAUCGGUGGGUCUUUGUCACGAGUCCAUCGGCACCUUACGAGAAAUCAAAGCAUUUGGGUUCCGGGGGGAGUAUGGUCGCAAGGCUGAAACUUAAAGGAAUUGACGGAAGGGCACCACCAGGAGUGGAGCCUGUGGCUUAAUUUGACUCAACACGGGAAAACUUACCAGGUCCGGACAUAGUAAGGAUUGACAGAUUGAAAGCUCUUUCUUGAUUCUAUGGGUGGUGGUGCAUGGCCGUUCUUAGUUGGUGGAGUGAUUUGUCUGGUUAAUUCCGUUAACGAACGAGACCCGCGCCUGCUAAAUAGUCGGCCUCACUUCUGUGGGUGUUGUACUUCUUAGAGGGACCAUCCUGGGUAUACCGGAAGGAAGUUGCGGGCAAUAACAGGUCUGUGAUGCCCUUAGAUGUUCUGGGCUGCACACGGGCUACACUGCAAGAUACAACAAGCGUCGAUCACGCCUGACUGGAAGGUCCGGCCAAUCUUUGAAUAUCUUGCGUGAUUGGGAUAGACCAUUGCAAUUAUUGGUCUUCAACGAGGAAUUCCUAGUAAACGCGUGUCAACAACACGCAUUGAUUACGUCCCUGCCCUUUGUACACACCGCCCGUCGCUCCUACCGAUUGGAUGUUUCGAUGAGCCGUUUGGAGGACUAAGCUGAAAGCGUCAGCCGGAAGCUACGUCCGAAAUUCUGCAAAUCUGAAUAUCUAGAGGAAGGAGAAGUCGUAACAGGGUAACC